rnacentral:rRNA from 1 species
UACGAAGGGGCUAGCGUUGUUCGGAAUUACUGGGCGUAAAGGGCGCGUAGGCGGCGUGUCAAGUCAGGCGUGAAAGCCCCGGGCUCAACCUGGGAACCGCGCUUGAGACUGGCAUGCUCGAGUUCGGGAGAGGAUGGUGGAAUUCCCAGUGUAGAGGUGAAAUUCGUAGAUAUUGGGAAGAACACCGAUGGCGAAGGCAGCCAUCUGGACCGACACUGACGCUGAGGCGCGAAAAGCGUGGGGAGCAAACAGGG